GGAACGUCCAGGGAAGCCCAGCAUCCCUUGUGCCCCAUCUGGCCUGAGCCGCACUUCUGGAUUACGGCGGCACCUUUUGUGUGAACAGGGAGGAGAAGGGGCUAGAAGGCCAGACGGAUGGAUCAGAGACGAGGGCUUGCAGAGCCAUUCAGACACAAGUGAACGUCACAGUAGCUCAUUCAGAGAAACCCAGGUCUAGCAGACAGAGACGGCAAUUCUGCACUCUCCGCAAGGCACGGCUACUGAUCUGCUACCGCUCCAGUCAAGGACCCCCGGGAAGCGGGAAUGAGAAGAGAGGGUAGCAGAUAGGGAGACAGCUCUUACAGAGCCCCCAUCCCAGCACAGCCAAUGUGGUCACCACAAGAAACACUCAGGCUCUCCUCUCCUUGCGGUGUGAGUGUCACAAUGCUGUCACCCUUCCAGAAAAGUAGAAGUGAAAGAGAGAGAAUGUCAGCCUACGGUGACCUCUGGGGACCUUGUUAUUAUAGGACAAUUUGAAUACACAGAAAUGUAGGCUGAAUGUAAAACGACUCGGGUCCUACCCUGUGAGAUCUGUACUCCAACCUUCUUUCCCACCCUGGGAAUUCUGCUGAAGCAAACCUCAGGGGUCACACGCCUUCCUCUGUUCUACGGUGGCAUGGAUGCCGAUUAAUAGCCACAGUUAGACCAGCACAGUGCUCACUGUCAACACAUCUUGCUGCUUCU